GGGUUGUGAGGUUAAGCGACUAAGCGUACACGGUGGAUGCCCUGGCAGUCAGAGGCGAUGAAGGACGUGCUAAUCUGCGAAAAGCGUCGGUAAGGUGAUAUGAACCGUUAUAGCCGGCGAUGUCCGAAUGGGGAAACCCAGUGUGAUUCGUCACACUAUCGUUAACUGAAUACAUAGGUUAACGAGGCGAACCGGGGGAACUGAAACAUCUAAGUACCCCGAGGAAAAGAAAUCAACCGAGAUUCCCCCAGUAGCGGCGAGCGAACGGGGAGCAGCCCAGAGUCUGAAUCAGCUUGUGUGUUAGUGGAACGGUCUGGAAAGUCCGACGGUACAGGGUGAUAGUCCCGUACACCAAAAUGCACAGGUUGUGAACUCGAAGAGUAGGGCGGGACACGUGGUAUCCUGUCUGAAUAUGGGGACCAUCCUCCAAGGCUAAAUACUCCUGACUGACCGAUAGUGAACCAGUACCGUGAGGGAAAGGCGAAAAGAACCCCGGCGAGGGAGUGAAAAGAACCUGAAACCGUGUACGUACAAGCAGUGGGAGCACCUUCGGGUGUGACUGCGUACCUUUGUAUAAUGGGUCAGCGACUUAUAUUCUGUAGCAAGGUUAACCGUAUAGGGAGCCGCAGGGAAACCGAGUCUUAACUGGGCGUUAAGUUGCAGGGUAUAGACCCGAAACCCGGUGAUCUAGCCAUGGGCAGGUUGAAGGUUGGGUAACACUAACUGGAGGACCGAACCGACUAAUGUUGAAAAAUUAGCGGAUGACUUGUGGCUGGGGGGUGAAAGGCCAAUCAAACCGGGAGAUAGCUGGUUCUCCCCGAAAGCUAUUUAGGUAGCGCCUCGUGAACUCAUCUUCGGGGGUAGAGCACUGUUUCGGCUAGGGGGUCAUCCCGACUUACCAACCCGAUGCAAACUACGAAUACCGAAGAAUGUUAUCACGGGAGACACACGGCGGGUGCUAACGUCCGUCGUGAAGAGGGAAACAACCCAGACCGCCAGCUAAGGUCCCAAAGUCAUGGUUAAGUGGGAAACGAUGUGGGAAGGCACAGACAGCCCAGGAUGUUGGCUUAGAAGCAGCCAUCAUUUAAAGAAAGCGUAAUAGCUCACUGGUCGAGUCGGCCUGCGCGGAAGAUGUAACGGGGCUAAACCAUGCACCGAAGCUGCGGCAGCGACACUAUGUGUUGUUGGGUAGGGGAGCGUUCUGUAAGCCUGCGAAGGUGACCUGUGAGGGUUGCUGGAGGUAUCAGAAGUGCGAAUGCUGACAUAAGUAACGAUAAAGCGGGUGAAAAGCCCGCUCGCCGGAAGACCAAGGGUUCCUGUCCAACGUUAAUCGGGGCAGGGUGAGUCGACCCCUAAGGCGAGGCCGAAAGGCGUAGUCGAUGGGAAACAGGUUAAUAUUCCUGUACUUGGUGUUACUGCGAAGGGGGGACGGAGAAGGCUAUGUUAGCCGGGCGACGGUUGUCCCGGUUUAAGCAUGUAGGCUGAUUAUCCAGGCAAAUCCGGAUAAUCAAGGCUGAGGUGUGAUGACGAGGCACUACGGUGCUGAAGUAACAAAUGCCCUGCUUCCAGGAAAAGCCUCUAAGCAUCAGGUAACAUCAAAUCGUACCCCAAACCGACACAGGUGGUCAGGUAGAGAAUACCAAGGCGCUUGAGAGAACUCGGGUGAAGGAACUAGGCAAAAUGGUGCCGUAACUUCGGGAGAAGGCACGCUGGUGUGUAGGUGAAGUCCCUGCGGAUGGAGCUGAGACCAGUCGAAGAUACCAGCUGGCUGCAACUGUUUAUUAAAAACACAGCACUGUGCAAACACGAAAGUGGACGUAUACGGUGUGACGCCUGCCCGGUGCCGGAAGGUUAAUUGAUGGGGUUAUCCGUAAGGAGAAGCUCUUGAUCGAAGCCCCGGUAAACGGCGGCCGUAACUAUAACGGUCCUAAGGUAGCGAAAUUCCUUGUCGGGUAAGUUCCGACCUGCACGAAUGGCGUAAUGAUGGCCAGGCUGUCUCCACCCGAGACUCAGUGAAAUUGAACUCGCUGUGAAGAUGCAGUGUACCCGCGGCAAGACGGAAAGACCCCGUGAACCUUUACUAUAGCUUGACACUGAACAUUGAGCCUUGAUGUGUAGGAUAGGUGGGAGGCUUUGAAGCGUGGACGCCAGUCUGCGUGGAGCCAACCUUGAAAUACCACCCUUUAAUGUUUGAUGUUCUAACGUUGGCCCCUGACCGGGGUUGCGGACAGUGUCUGGUGGGUAGUUUGACUGGGGCGGUCUCCUCCCAAAGCGUAACGGAGGAGCACGAAGGUUAGCUAAUCCUGGUCGGACAUCAGGAGGUUAGUGCAAUGGCAUAAGCUAGCUUGACUGCGAGCGUGACGGCGCGAGCAGGUGCAAAGCAGGUCAUAGUGAUCCGGUGGUUCUGAAUGGAAGGGCCAUCGCUCAACGGAUAAAAGGUACUCCGGGGAUAACAGGCUGAUACCGCCCAAGAGUUCAUAUCGACGGCGGUGUUUGGCACCUCGAUGUCGGCUCAUCACAUCCUGGGGCUGAAGUAGGUCCCAAGGGUAUGGCUGUUCGCCAUUUAAAGUGGUACGCGAGCUGGGUUUAGAACGUCGUGAGACAGUUCGGUCCCUAUCUGCCGUGGGCGCUGGAGAAUUGAGGGGGGCUGCUCCUAGUACGAGAGGACCGGAGUGGACGCAUCACUGGUGUUCGGGUUGUCAUGCCAAUGGCAUUGCCCGGUAGCUAAAUGCGGAAGAGAUAAGUGCUGAAAGCAUCUAAGCACGAAACUUGCCCCGAGAUGAGUUCUCCCUGAGACUUUAAGUCUCCUGAAGGAACGUUAAAGACGAUGACGUUGAUAGGCCGGGUGUGUAAGCGCAGCGAUGCGUUGAGCUAACCGGUACUAAUGAACCGUGAGGCUUAACCUUACAACGCCGAAG
rnacentral:rRNA from 1 species